rnacentral:misc_RNA from 1 species
AAGUCGUAACAAGGUUUCCGUAGGUGAACCUGCGGAAGGAUCAUUAACGAAUAACUAUGGCGUUGGUUGUAGCUGGCUCCUCGGAGCAAUGUGCACGCCCGCCAUUUUUAUCUUUCCACCUGUGCACCGACUGUAGGUCUGGAUACCUCUCGCCUCCGGGCGGAUGCGAGGGUUGCUCGUAAGGGCUUCCCUUGAACUUCCAGGCUCUACGUCUUUUUACACACCCCAAUAGUAUGAUGCAGAAUGUAGUCAAUGGGCUUCUCAGCCUAUAAAACAAUAUACAACUUUCAGCAACGGAUCUCUUGGCUCUC